AGAUUGAACGCUGGCGGCAGGCCUAACACAUGCAAGUCGAGCGGUAGAGAGGUGCUUGCAUCUCUUGAGAGCGGCGGACGGGUGAGUAAUGCCUAGGAAUCUGCCUAGUGGUGGGGGAUAACGUUCGGAAACGGACGCUAAUACCGCAUACGUCCUACGGGAGAAAGCGGGGGACCUUCGGGCCUCGCGCCAUUAGAUGAGCCUAGGUCGGAUUAGCUAGUUGGUGAGGUAAUGGCUCACCAAGGCGACGAUCCGUAACUGGUCUGAGAGGAUGAUCAGUCACACUGGAACUGAGACACGGUCCAGACCUCCGUACGGGAGCCAGCAGGUGGGGAAUAGUUAGGACAAGUGGGA
rnacentral:rRNA from 1 species